GCCAGACUCCUACGGGAGGCAGCAGUGGGGAAUAUUGCACAAUGGGGGAAACCCUGAUGCAGCGACGCCGCGUGAGUGAGGAAGUAUUUCGGUAUGUAAAGCUCUAUCAGCAGGGAAGAAAAAAUGACGGUACCUGACUAAGAGGCACCGGCUAAAUACGUGCCAGCAGCCGCGGUAAUACGUAUGGUGCAAGCGUUAUCCGGAUUUACUGGGUGUAAAGGGAGCGCAGGCGGUACGGCAAGUCUGAUGUGAAAGCCCGGGGCUCAACCCCGGUACUGCAUUGGAAACUACCGGACUGGAGUGUCGGAGGGGUAAGUGGAAUUCCUAGUGUAGCGGUGAAAUGCGUAGAUAUUAGGAGGAACACCAGUGGCGAAGGCGGCUUACUGGACGAUCACUGACGCUGAGGCUCGAAAGCGUGGGGAGCAAACAGGAUUAGAUACCCCCGUACAG
rnacentral:rRNA from 1 species